CACAAGCAAGAGCACUCUCAGCCGUGAAGAGCGAUCUGAAAACACUGAAGAACGAGAGUGCAGAGAAGGUGGCCUUCUCAGCUGCUUUAGGCCUGCCUGCAGGACUGAGAGGCCCAAAGAAUGCUGAGACUACUCUGGUCUACAAAAAUGUCCUAACAAACAUUGGAAAUGCCUGCAACUCAUCUACAGGGAUCUUUACAGCUCCAUUCAGAGGGGUCUACUAUGUUCACUUCACAGCUGCCGUGUAUAACAACAACAGCUAAAAUCUAGGACUGAAUCUGUACAAAACGGGCAGUAUCUGCUGCAUUUGGGUGAAAACAGCACUGACGGCUAUGCUAAGCAUGUCUUGAGUGGAGUCACUCUGGUUCUGGUGGCGGGAGAUCAGGGGUACACCCGCCUGCCAGCAAACUACGCGGUCUGGGAUGAUUCGCUCUUCCGCACUAGUUUUAGUGGCUUCCUCCUCUUCCCCAUGUGAAAGAUGGAAAGGCCUAGUGAUAAAAUUACUAGGAGGCUUGUCUUACUGUCGCUUUUACUGCUUUGAUUAACUACUUAAUCAGUUAUCAAUAUUCAGUGCUGAUUAACCAGCUGUGAAAUCAUUUAACCUGCUUUAUCAUUUUGGGUAAAGGGACUUUCAC